UACGUAGGGGCCCAGCGUUGUCCGGAUUCAUUGGGCGUAAAGCGCGCGCAGGCGGCCCGGUGUGCCGCCCGUGAAAUCCCCCGGCUCAACCGGGGGGGGUCGGGCGGGACUGCCGGGCUGGAGGCGGGUAGGGGAGAGCGGAAUUCCCGGUGUAGUGGUGGAAUGCGUUGAGAUCGUGAGGAACGCCCGCGGCGAAAGCGAGCGCCUGGACCCUUUCUGACGCUGAGACGCGAAAGCCAGGGGAGCGAACGGG
rnacentral:rRNA from 1 species